AAUACCAUUCAUUCGUUCACUCAUUCGUGUAUUCGCUCACCCCCUCACUCCGCUCAUCAGCUGGGGGCACAGAGAUGAGUAAGUCGAUGCCCGCUCUUGGGAGUGCACAGCGGAAUGGGGGAGACAGGCUGUCUCUCAAACUGAAGGAGUCCCUACCCAGGCACAUGUUAGCUUGAUGCGAGCGUGCAUGGUGACCUUGAAAGAUGGGAACCAGAAAUGGAAGAAGACUGGGUCUACAACUUGCUGCUUGAGGGAGAGAUGCCCACUGAUCAGGAACAUACAUUUUGGAUUUAUAAAGCCAGAAAUAAACUUUUAUCAUG